rnacentral:lncRNA from 1 species
UGUUAAAUAGAAAAGGAUUCUUGAUAAAUUAUCUGACAUGAGGCGGUGUCUGUUUACUUUCUCUGUACCACAAAAAGUUUCAGUUCCCAUCACAAUUAUAUACGUAUUCUGAUUGCUAUAUUUCAUCUUAAUACUCUUCUACUGGUAACAUUUGGAAUUUAAUUAAAUCCAAUAUCAAAGGGCAUUCAUGCCGUUAUCAUAAUUC